rnacentral:rRNA from 1 species
AAUCAACGCUGGCGGCGUGCCUAACACAUGCAAGUCGAACGCGGUUACCCCGCAAGGGGUAACUGAGUGGCGAACGGGUGAGUAACGCGUGGGUGACCUACCUUCGAGUGGGGGAUAACGUCCCGAAAGGGACGCUAAUACCGCAUAACAUCCUGCCUUUGAACAGGCGGUGAUCAAAGCCGGGGAUCGCAAGACCUGGCGCUUGAUGAGGGGCCCGCGUCUGAUUAGCUAGUUGGUGAGGAAUGGCCCACCAAGGCAACGAUCAGUAUCCGGCCUGAGAGGGCGGGACGGACACACUGGGACUGAGACACGGCCCAGACUCCUACGGGAGGCAGCAGUGGGGAAUUGUUCGCAAUGGGCGCAAGCCUGACGACGCAACGCCGCGUGGAGGAUGAAGGCC